UACAAUCUAUCCAGGUUUAAAAGACUAUGA
rnacentral:piRNA from 1 species